rnacentral:lncRNA from 1 species
UCUAAUUAAUAUUGUUUGAACGAGGAAGAUACAUGAUAUAUAGAGCGGUAAAACAACCAGAAAGCUCAAAAAUAUCAUGGAAGAUACAAAGAGUUUCUUAACUUGCAUUCUUUCGUUGAUGGCUCGGAUUAGAUCAUGAGCGUCUGAUUUUAAAGUAAUUGGAUGUCGUUCCAUGGUCACCGUGUGGGAUAGGAUGAAUUGUUAGAGACUUCUCAACAAGGGGAGAGGCCACAAAAUCUUCCGAUGCGCUUCCUCUCCACAAUACCACCGGCUGCAUCAAAGAUAAUAAUUUCAAACCCAGCAAACAAUGAGUUUUCCGACCACGCAGCGUCUGUGUGGAUAGUGAUCAUUGUGGGCAAAGGUGGUUGUUGAUCGUCUAGUUGUCGUGCCAUCACUAUUAUCGGUGUUUGAGUCUCUUGC